UACGUAGGGUGCAAGCGUUAAUCGGAAUUACUGGGCGUAAAGCGUGCGCAGGCGGUUAUGUAAGACGGUUGUGAAAUCCCCGGGCUCAACCUGGGAACUGCAUCUGUGACUGCAUAGCUAGAGUACGGUAGAGGGGGAUGGAAUUCCGCGUGUAGCAGUGAAAUGCGUAGAUAUGCGGAGGAACACCGAUGGCGAAGGCAAUCCCCUGGACCUGUACUGACGCUCAUGCACGAAAGCGUGGGGAGCAAACAGG
rnacentral:rRNA from 1 species